CUCCAUAAAUUUAAUACAAACCAUACUAAUUUAUAAAGAUGGUGUUAAAUCAUGAACUAAUUCUGUAAAAUAUCCACAAGCUACAAAGAGAUGAAAGAAACAUAAUCUUAUUGGCUGGAAUAACCCAAAUCAUCCCUUUCAUCACUUGUUUGAAUGUCAUAUAAAGCUGGAAAAUUUUAUGUAUCAGGUGCACAGAUUGGACAACUCAUGAAAUAGCCCUAGAAAUUGCCGGCAAAACAGUUGCUUCUUGUAGAAACACACCUGAAGACUUCGAUGCAACUAUAAUUUAGGGUUGUGAUGGAGUAGGAGAUGUUGGUGGCUUGAAAUCUGGAUAUGAUGCAUAUGGUGAAAGGGGUCUUGGAAACCCACUAACUGAUUCUGCUUUAACUGAAUUGAUUUGGGAAGCAGGCCCCGGAACUGCUUCGGCCUUCUGUACAGUAUUAUCAGCAGCAGCAGCUUCUGAACUUGGUUCUACAGAUGCAGGGAGAGCCUUACUUGGCCCACCUGCUGGCAGAAGAACCUUCCCAAUUUGCUUUAUCUCAUCAACAAGCUCUUUAGGGGCAACCUUGGUGUUCAAGAAUUCAUCAACUUGUUGCAGAGUUUGCUUACGGUCCUCUGCAAACAGGAGUUUCUUACUUGCAAACUGAACAAGUGCAGCUGAGCCUAAUACUUGGAGAAUUGUUUCAAUCUCUGAAAAUGCUAAUACACCAAUGCCGGCUGCUGCUGCUGCAAUCCCAAUAGUCAGAGGCAAGGAAUCAGAGCCCUCUCCAAGUGCACCACUGAAGGUAUCUGUCACAUAGCUAAGAUCAAAGCUCAACCCUUUACUUGGCAGUAUCCAAGGAAGACUACUAUUCAUCCAUCCCCGUGGUCCUUCUGCGCCAUCUUUUAUGGCAUAAGCAGCUUUAAAUCCAUUUGCAGUGACCAACUCUGCAACAAGUUCAGAGCCCCCAUCCAAUUUAUCUAGAAUGAACACUGUAGUAUUCUCUGGUUCCUUAAACUUCAAAGACAGCUUCUUCAAGAAACCUGAAUUAUCUUCACCUUUGUAAACAAUUGACACUGGCUUCUUUUUGAAAUCCCUGAUAUCAGGAGUACCCACUUUUCUC
rnacentral:misc_RNA from 1 species